AUAUUUACCUGGCAGGGGAGACACCAUGAUCAGGAAGGUUGUUCACCCAGGGUGAGGCUCGGCCACUGCACUUCGGCUGUGCCUACCCCAGCCAAUUUCCCAAAUGUGGGAACUUCGACUGCAUAAUUUAUGGUAGUGUGGGACUGCGUUCACACUCUCCCGCU